rnacentral:rRNA from 1 species
GACGAACGCUGGCGGCGUGCUUAACACAUGCAAGUCGAACGGUGAUGGUGGAGCUUGCUCCACUGGAUCAGUGGCGAACGGGUGAGUAACACGUGAGCAACCUGCCCCGAACUUUGGGAUAACUUCUCGAAAGGGAAGCUAAUACCGGAUAUGAAACAUCCUCGCAUGGGGGUGUUUGGAAAGUUUUUCGGUUCGGGAUGGGCUCGCGGCCUAUCAGCUUGUUGGUGGGGUAAUGGCCUACCAAGGCGACGACGGGUAGCCGGCCUGAGAGGGUGACCGGCCACACUGGGACUGAGACACGGCCCAGACUCCUACGGGAGGCAGCAGUGGGGAAUCUUGCACAAUGGGCGAAAGCCUGAUGCAGCGACGCCGCGUGAGGGAUGACGGCCUUCGGGUUGUAAACCUCUUUCAGCUCUGAAGAAGCGAAAGUGACGGUAGGAGCAGAAGAAGCACCGGCUAACUACGUGCCAGCAGCCGCCGUAACAC